rnacentral:rRNA from 1 species
GACGAACGCUGGCGGCGUGCUUAACACAUGCAAGUCGAACGGGCCUGUCUUCUUUUUUGGGGGGUGGGUUGAGUGGCGAACGGGUGAGUAUCACGUGAGUAACCUGCCCUUCGGUCCUGGAUAACCGCUUGAAAGGGCGGCUAAUACGGGGUGGUCCGGUUGGUCCGCAUGGGCUGGUCGGGAUAGAUUCACUGUUUUUGGUGUUUCGGCGGGGGAUGGGCUCGCGGCCUAUCAGCUUGUUGGUGGGGUGAUGGCCUACCAAGGCGGUGACGGGUAGCCGGCCUGAGAGGGGGGGCGGCCACACUGGGACUGGGAUACGGCCCAGACUCCUGCGGGAGGCAGCAGUGGGGGGUAUUGCACAAUGGGCGGAAGCCUGAUGCAGCGACGUCGCGUGAGGGAGGGAGGCCUUCGGGUUGUGAACCUCUGUUUCCGGUGGUGAAGGCCCUGUCCGUGUGGUGGGGUUGACGGUAGCCGGGGAUGAAGCGCCGGCUAACUACGUG